rnacentral:rRNA from 1 species
CCUACGGGCGGCAGCAGUGGGGAAUAUUGCACAAUGGGGGAAACCCUGAUGCAGCGACGCCGCGUGAGUGAAGAAGUAAUUCGUUAUGUAAAGCUCUAUCAGCAGGGAAGAAAAUGACGGUACCUGAGUAAGAAGCCCCGGCGAACUACGUGCCAGCAGCCGCGGUAAUACGUAGGGGGCAAGCGUUAUCCGGAUUUACUGGGUGGAAAGGGAGCGUAGACGGCAGUGCAAGUCUGGAGUGAAAGGCGGGGGCUCAACCCCCGGACUGCUCUGGAUACUGUACGGCUGGAGUGCAGGAGAGGUAAGUGGAAUUCCUAGUGUAGCGGUGAAAUGCGUAGAUAUUAGGAGGAACACCAGUGGCGAAGGCGGCUUACUGGACUGUAACUGACGUUGAGGCGCGAAAGCGUGGGGAGCAAACAGGAUUAGAUACCCCUGUAGUC